GACGAACGCUGGCGGCGUGCUUAACACAUGCAAGUCGAACGGGCCUGUCUUCUUUUUUGGGGGUGGGUUGAGUGGCGAACGGGUGAGUAUCACGUGAGUAACCUGCCCUUCGGUCCUGGAUAACCGCUUGAAAGGGCGGCUAAUACGGGGUGGUCCGGUUGGUCCGCAUGGGCUGGUCGGGAUAGAUUCACUGUUUUUGGUGUUUCGGCGGGGGAUGGGCUCGCGGCCUAUCAGCUUGUUGGUGGGGCGAUGGCCUACCAAGGCGGUGACGGGUAGCCGGGCUGAGGGGGUCGGCGGCCACACUGGGACUGGGCUACGGCCCAGACUCCUGCGGGAGGCAGCAGUGGGGGGUAUUGCACAAGGGGCGGAAGCCUGAUGCAGCGACGUCGCGUGAGGGAUGGAGGCCUUCGGGUUGUGAACCUCUGUUUCCGGUGGUGAAGGCCCUGUCCGUGUGGUGGGGUUGACGGUAGCCGGGGAUGAAGCGCCGGCUAACUACGUG
rnacentral:rRNA from 1 species